rnacentral:rRNA from 1 species
CCUACGGGUGGCAGCAGUGAGGAAUAUUGGUCAAUGGCCGGAAGGCUGAACCAGCCAAGUCGCGUGAGGGACGACUGCCCUAUGGGUUGUAAACCUCGUUUAUAGGGGAAGAAUAAAUGCUACGUGUAGCAUGAUGCCUGUACCUUAUGAAGAAGCAUCGGCUAACUCCGUGCCAGCAGCCGCGGUAAUACGGAGGAUGCGAGCGUUAUCCGGUUUUAGAUGGUUUAAAGGGUGCGUAGUCGGUAUUUUAAGUCAGUGGUAAAACGUCGGUGCGUAACCGUGAUGUGCACUUGAUACUGUAUGGCUCGAGUGCAGACGAGGCAGGCUGAAUAAGUUAUGUAGCGGUGAAAUGCUUAGAUAUCACUUAGAACUCCGAUAGCGAAGGCAGCUUACUGGACUGCGACUGACGCUGAAGCACGAGAGCGUGGGUAGCGAACAGGAUUAGAUACCCUUGUAGUC